AACGAACGCUGGCGGCAGGCUUAACACAUGCAAGUCGAGCGCCCCGCAAGGGGCGCGGCCGACGGGUGAGUACCGCGUGGGAACGUACCUUUUGGUUCGUAACAACUCCGGGAAACUGGAGCUAAUACCGGAUAAGCCCUAACGGGGAAAGAUUUAUCGCCGAAAGAUCGGCCCGCGUCUGAUUAGCUAGUUGGUGAGGUAACGGCUCACCAAGGCGACGAUCAGUAGCUGGUCUGAGAGGAUGAUCAGCCACACUGGGACUGGGACACGGCCCAGACUCCUACGGGAGGCAGCAGUGGGGAAUAUUGGACAAUGGGCGCAAGCCUGAUCCAGCCAUGCCGGGUGAGUGAUGAAGGCCUUAGGGUUGUAAAGCUCUUUUGUCCGGGAAGAUAAUGACUGUACCGGAAGAAUAAGCCCCGGCUAACUUCGUG
rnacentral:rRNA from 1 species